rnacentral:tRNA from 2 species
GCCCCCUCAACUUAGUGGUAGAGUAACACCAUGGUAAGGCGUAAGUCGUCGGUUCAAAUCCGAUAGUGGGCU